AUGCAAUCUUAUGAUGAAAAACUUAAUUUGGAAGUUUCUAUACCUAGAAAACUUAAUGAUGAGUGGGAACCUACUAUAAAGAUUAGAAUUAAAGAUCAUGAGUGUUUUGCUUUGUGUGAUUUGGGUGCUAAUGUUUCCAUGAUUCCGAAAACUUUAUGUGAUAUUCUAGGUUUCCAUGAUCUUGAUGAUUGCUCUUUAAAUUUGCACCUUGCGGAUUCCACCAUUAAAAAUCCAAUGGGAAGGAUCAAUGAUGUUCUCAUUGUUGCAAAUAGAAAUUUGGUGCCCAUAGAUUUUAUUGUUCUUGAUAUAGAUUGCAAUCUUUCUUGCCCUAUUAUUCUUGGUAGACCUUUCCUUAGAACGAUUGGUGUGAUUAUUGAUAUGAAGGAAGGGAAUAUUAGAUUCCAAUUUCCAUUAAAGAAAGGCAUGGAGCACUUUCCAAGAAAGAAAGUCAAAUUACCUUAUGAAUCUAUCAUGCGGGCUACUUAUGAAUUGAGUGCCAAAGAUGGCACUACUUAG
rnacentral:rRNA from 1 species